UCCUUGAUGGCUCAGACAGUAAAGAAUCUGCCUGCAAUGCAGGAGACCUGGGUUAAAUCCCUGGCUGGGGAA
rnacentral:tRNA from 1 species